AUUGAACGCUGGCGGAAUGCUUUACACAUGCAAGUCGAACGGCAGCACGGACUUCGGUCUGGUGGCGAGUGGCGAACGGGUGAGUAAUGUAUCGGAACGUGCCCAGUCGUGGGGGAUAACGUAGUGAAAAUUACGCUAAUACCGCAUACGAUCUAUGGAUGAAAGCGGGGGAUCGCAAGACCUCGCGCGAUUGGAGCGGCCGAUAUCAGAUUAGGUAGUUGGGGGGGUAAAGGCCCACCAAGCCAACGAUCUGUAGCUGGUCUGAGAGGACGACCAGCCACACGUGAACUGAGACACGGUCCAGACUCCUACGGGAGGCAGCAGUGGGGAAUUUUGGACAAUGGGCGAAAGCCUGAUCCAGCCAUUCCGCGUGCAGGAUGAAGGCCCUCGGGUUGUAAACUGCUUUUGUACAGAACGAAAAGGUUUCUACUAAUACUAGGAGCUCAUGACGGUACUGUAAGAAUAAGCACCAGCUAACUACGUGCCAGCCGCCGCCGUAA
rnacentral:rRNA from 1 species